UAGCUUGUGUAAUCUAUUGGACAACAAGUUCUGUACUAUAGCUGAUAUUUGUGUUUGAUGUGGGAAAAUUUGGCAAUGGAAGAUGAGUUGGGGAAGACAGCUUCAACUUUAGGAAGUAGAAUGAGAAUAUAUGAACUUUAGCAGCUGAUAUCUACUAUUAGCUAUGUAAGAAUUUAAAGGAUAGAUUAGUGUGGAUCCAUGAUGUAAGGGGUAAGUUUUCAGUUAAAUCAUGCACGGGUUUGAUUGAUUCUCUGAGACUAGCUGGUCCAAAUCCAGUAGUCUUGCAUGUUUGGAGAUAUUUUGUACGAGAAACAAUUUGCAGAAAACGAG
rnacentral:lncRNA from 1 species